rnacentral:misc_RNA from 1 species
GAUGAAGAACGCAGCGAAGUGCGAUAAGUAGUGUGAAUUGCAGAAUUCCGUGGAUCAUCGAAUUUUUGAACGCAAAUUGCACUCUCUGGUAUUCCGGAGAGUAUGCCUGUUUGAGGGUCAUUAACAUCAAAAUCGAUUUGUUUACUUUGGUAACUUGGUAACAUUUUCGGAAUUGGGUCAUCUUAAACCUUCAGGUUCAAGAGGCUUAAAAUUGAUCAUUUUUUGGUAUGAAUUAAGCGUAUUUAAGAUCACUUAUCACGCGCUUGACUCCUAUCGGAUGUUUAUUAGGCGUGACCAUGAUCAUGGUUUCGCGCCCAUAAUCUUUCCAUGAAAUGACCUCAAAUCAGGUAGGAAUACCCGCUGAACUUGAGCAUAUCAAUAAGCGGAGGA